rnacentral:tRNA from 1 species
GUUUUAAUAGUUUAAAUAAAAACUUUGGUCUUGUAAACCAAGAAUAAGAUUGCUUUUAAAACU